rnacentral:rRNA from 1 species
GCUUUACACAUGCAAGUCGGACGGCAGCGGGGUAGUGCUUGCACUACUGCCGGCGAGUGGCGAACGGGUGAGUAAUAUAUUGGAACGUACCGAGUAAUGGGGGAUAACCAAUCGAAAGAUUGGCUAAUACCGCAUACGCUCUGAGGAGGAAAGCAGGGGACCUUCGGGCCUUGCGUUAUUCGAGCGGCCAAUAUCUGAUUAGCUAGUUGGUGGGGUAAAGGCCUACCAAGGCGACGAUCAGUAGCGGGUCUGAGAGGAUGAUCCGCCACACUGGGACUGAGACACGGCCCAGACUCCUACGGGAGGCAGCAGUGGGGAAUUUUGGACAAUGGGCGCAAGCCUGAUCCAGCCAUGCCGCGUGUCUGAAGAAGGCCUUCGGGUUGUAAAGGACUUUUGUUAGGGAAGAAAAAGGAGCGGUUAAUACCCGUUUCUGCUGACGGUACCUAAAGAAUAAGCACCGGCUAACUACGUGCCAGCAGCCGCGGUAAUACGUAGGGUGCGAGCGUUAAUCGGAAUUACUGGGCGU